CUACGGGCGGCUCCAGUGGGGAAUCUUGCACAAUGGAGGAAACUCUGAUGCAGCGAUGCCGCGUGAGUGAAGAAGGCCCUUGGGUUGUAAAGCUCUUUUGUCGGGAAAGAUAAUGACUGUACCCGAAGAAUAAGGUCCGGCUAACUUCGUGCCAGCAGCCGCGGUAAUACGAAGGGACCUAGCGUAAUUCGGAAUUACUGGGCGUAAAGCGCGCGUAGGCGGUUAAGUAAGUUAAUUGUGAAAGCCCAAAGCUCAACUUUGGAAUUGCAAUUAAAACUACUUAGCUAGAGUUUAUCAGAGGAAAGCGGAAUACAUAGUGUAGAGGUGAAAUUCGUAGAUAUUAUGUAGAACACCAGUUGCGAAGGCGGCUUUCUGGGAUAACACUGACGCUGAGGUGCGAAAGUAUGGGUAGCGAAGAGGAUUAGAUACCCCUGUAGUC
rnacentral:rRNA from 1 species